CCUACGGGAGGCAGCAGUGAGGAAUUUUCCGCAAUGGGCGAAAGCCUGACGGAGCAAUACCGCGUGAGGGAUGAAGGAUUUUGGUCUGUAAACCUCUUUUCUCAAGAAAGAAGUUCUGACGGUACUUGAGGAAUAAGCAUCGGCUAACUCCGUGCCAGCAGCCGCGGUAAUACGGGGGAUGCAAGCGUUAUCCGGAAUGAUUGGGCGUAAAGCGCCUGUAGGUUGUUUAUUAAGUCCGUUGUUAAAGCCUAGGGCUUAACCCUAGAAAGCAAUGGAAACUAGUAGACUAGAGUAUGGCAGGGGUAGAGGGAAUUUCUAGUGUAGCGGUGAAAUGCGUAGAUAUUAGAAAGAACACCGGUGGCGAAAGCGCUCUACUGGACCAUUACUGACACUCAGAGGCGAAAGCUAGGGUAGCAAAAGGGAUUAGAUACCCCUGUAGUCCUAGCCGUAAACGAUGGAUACUAGAUGUUGUGCAUUAUGUACAGUAUCGUAGCUAACGCGUUAAGUAUCCCGCCUGGGGAGUACGCUCGCAAGGGUGAAACUCAAAUGAAUUGACGG
rnacentral:rRNA from 1 species